GAUCAUGGCUCAGGAUGAACGCUAGCUACAGGCUUAACACAUGCAAGUCGAGGGGCAUCAGUUUGGUUUGCUUGCAAGCCAAAGCUGGCGACCGGCGCACGGGUGAGUAACACGUAUCCAACCUGCCUCAUACUCGGGGAUAGCCUUUCGAAAGAAAGAUUAAUAUCCGAUAGCAUAUAUUUCCCGCAUUGGGUUUUAAUAUUAAAGAAUUCGGUAUGAGAUGGGGAUGCGUUCCA
rnacentral:rRNA from 1 species